CAGCCGCCGCGGUAAAACCAGCACCUCGAGUGGUCAGGAGGUUUAUUGGGCCUAAAGCAUCCGUAGCCGGUUGCAUAAGUUUUCGGUUAAAUCUAUGCGCUUAACGUAUAGGCCGCCGAAAAUACUGUGCAGCUAGGGAGUGGGAGAGGUACACGGUACUCGAUAGGAAGGGGUAAAAUCCUUUGAUCUAUUGAUGACCACCUGUGGCGAAGGCGGUGUACCAGAACACGUUCGACGGUGAGGGAUGAAAGCUGGGGGAGCAAACAGGAUUAGAUACCCCUGUAGUCCCUGUCUCUUAUAC
rnacentral:rRNA from 1 species